CACCGUAGAAACGAGCGUGCCUCAUCCAUAUUGGUGUUAGAAGUUGAAGGAAACGGUGGAUCUGAAGUCCACAAUAAUCGAGAUAUUCUAGAGUAAUCUAGAAAUCUCGUAAGGCCAAAAUGAGAGCUAAGUGGCGAAAGAAGAGGAUGCGCAGGCUAAAGCGUAAAAGGAGGAAGAUGCGUGCAAGGUCCAAGUAAAUUUUGUAUCCAUGAUCUCUCUGUAGGACUAACAUCAUCAGUUCCAACACUAUCAAACUUGAUCAACCUGAACAACGUUCCAUCAGCAGUUGAAUGUCAACAUUUCAUUCCAUUGUUUCUAUGCAGAGAGUUUAUGUUUUAUUAAUGUACACAGCUUGUGCGAUUAAAUAAACCUUAUUAAACAAAA